GGGUUAUAUUAUUCUGCAGAAAUAGGAACAGUGCUAGAUUCGAUCAUCUCAGAGACGUGAAAAAAUUUGAAUUGAACAAUCAUAAAGUAGAUCUAUCUAUGCAUGAAGAAUUCAUGGAUGCCAAGAACUUAUAACAGUAUGUUAACGAAGCUCCACACAUCGUCUUACCUAUUUCUUUGACCACAACUCGAGAAAGUGAAUUUUAGUCUGUAAAAUAAGCGCCUUUAGUCAACUAACAACUGAGCUUAGUAAACUGAAAUCAUAAAAUAACUUC